CUUUAAGUUCUGGGAUACAUGUGCAGAAUGUGCAGGUUUGUUACAUAGGUAUACGUGCCAUGGUCAUUUGCUGCACCUAGCAACCCAUCAUCUAGGUUUUAAGCCCCACAUGCAUUAGAUAUUUAUCCUAAUGCUCUCCCUCCCCUUGCCCCCCAUCUCCGACAGGCCCCAGUGUGUGAUGUUCCCUUCCCCAAAGUAUUUUCUUAUUCAGAGUAGUUGCUUCUAAUUUAUUUAAGAUUUUUAUAGUUUAGUUAAGUGAAGCAUUUGUUGAUUACACAAAACAUGUUAUUGAUAUUUGUAUCACAUAUGCACAUUUUUUUCCUUUUAAGUAUGAUAUACUGUGUUCUCAGCAAUUAUUUCAUUAUUGUUUCUCUGCAACCCUUUCUUCAAUGGUACUAAGCAAGACACAUCUGGUGAGGCCUACUUUCUAUGUUGUGGCAUAAAAGUAUGUAUUGAAGCUUUAGUAGAGAUUUCAAAAAUGGUUGGGUGGUAGCAAAUUACUAAGAACUCUCAAAGUUUCUAAAGCCUUAGUUCCAGCUUGCUAGAAAACCGAUGUUGAGUAUUAUGGCUAGUUCCAUAGUUGAGUUGGAAAAUGUCUUCCAGGAGACACUUUUUCACUUUGUAUUCAUCUGUAUAUUUUUUAUUACUUGCAUUCUGUCAUGCUCAGGCUAUUAGAGCAGGUACAUUUUUAUAACUGGAAUGUUUAUGUGUAGUGAAGCUCUGAGAGGACUUUGCAUUAGAUCUCAGCAGCAUAAUCAGAAGCUUGUCCUUUGUCUCAGCAAUUUUUAAGCUAAUAGUAGCAGAAAUUGCAGUGGAAAUAGACUGCUUUGCCACAACAUUCAGAAAAUCAUUUAUCUUUUUAUUGCAGUUCUUGUCACCAAACAAUACAUUUUAGUAUUUCUCAAAUUGCAGAACUCUCAUAGGGCUGGGAAAAUGCCUGUAGACACAUACAUACUAUGAAUGUGCUAAUGUUUUUUGUAUUUUCAUAGCCCAUCAAAGCUCCUGAGUCAGUUUCCACUAUAAUCACCGCAGAAUCAAUCUUCUACAAGGGAGUAUAUUACCAAAUUGGUGAUGUUGUUUCUGUGAUUGAUGAACAAGAUGGAAAGCCCUACUACGCUCAAAUCAGAGGUUUUAUCCAGGACCAGUAUUGCGAGAAGAGUGCAGCACUGACGUGGCUCAUUCCUACCCUCUCUAGCCCCAGAGACCAAUUUGAUCCCGCCUCCUAUAUCAUAGGGCCAGAGGAAGAUCUUCCAAGGAAGAUGGAAUACUUGGAAUUUGUUUGUCAUGCACCUUCUGAGUAUUUCAAGUCACGGUCAUCACCAUUUCCCACAGUUCCCACCAGACCAGAGAAGGGCUACAUAUGGACUCAUGUUGGGCCUACUCCUGCAAUAACAAUUAAGGAAACAGUUGCCAACCAUUUGUAGUUCACAAAUUAAAACUGGGUUUCCAGGCCUGGUGUGGUAGCUCACGCCUGUAGCCCCAGCUAUUGCACCACUGCUCUCCAAGCUGGGCAAUGGAGUCAGAUUCUCUCUCUUAAAAAACCACAAAAAAACUGGAUUUCCAGUUCUCUAAUAUUCUUAGUACCACAAGAUGUGUCAUAGGUAUCUUUAAAUGAAAUUCUUAGCUGGAAAAGUGACUAAAAAGUUUUUUUCCUACUACCUAGUAAUCAUUAGAUUGUUUACUACUGGUCACUUAGAAAAUUAAAAGGGAUAAGGCCAGGUACAGUGGCUUAUGCCUGUAAUCCCAGCACUUUGGGAGGCCGAGGCAGGCAGAUCACCUGAGGUCAGGAAGUGGAUCGCCUGAGGUCAGGAGUUCGAGACUAGCCUGGCCAACAUGGCGAAACCCCGUCUCUACUAAAAAUACAAAAAUUAGCCAGGUGUGGUGGCAUGUGCCUGUAAUCCCAGCUAUUUGGGAGGCUGAGGCAGGAGAAUCGCCUAAACCCAGGAGGUGGAGGUUGCAGUGAGCCAAGAUUGCACCGCUGUGCUCCAGCCUGGGCAACAGAGUGAGACUCUUGUCUCGA
rnacentral:sRNA from 1 species